UACGGGGGGGGCAAGCGUUGUUCGGAAUUACUGGGCGUAAAGGGCUCGUAGGCGGCCAACUAAGUCAGACGUGAAAUCCCUCGGCUUAACCGGGGAACUGCCUCUGAUACUGGAUGGCUUGAGAUUGGGAGAGGGAUGCGGAAUUCCAGGUGUAGCGGUGAAAUGCGUAGAUAUCAGGAGGAACACCGGUGGCGAAGGCGGGUCUCUGGGCCGAUACUGACGCUGAGGAGCGAAAGCGUGGGGAGCGAACAGG
rnacentral:rRNA from 1 species